UACGUAGGGGGCAAGCGUUGUUCGGAAUUACUGGGCGUAAAGGGCGCGUAGGCGGCAUGACAAGUCGGGAGUGAAAGCCCGGGGCUCAACCCCGGAACGGCUUUCGAAACUGUCAAGCUAGAGUGCGGAAGAGGCAACUGGAAUUCCCAGUGUAGCGGUGAAAUGCGUAGAUAUUGGGAAGAACACCUGAGGCGAAGGCGGGUUGCUGGGCCGACACUGACGCUGAUGCGCGAAAGCCAGGGGAGCAAACGGG
rnacentral:rRNA from 1 species